GUGAAGGUGACCGAGCGUGGGGAGGAAGCGUGGAGCGAAACCGUGAGCCGAUGUACAAGAACCGGAUAGAAGGCGGGGGCGGGGGCAAGCG
rfam:Candidatus Burkholderia crenata strain TZHbot9 BCREchr_ctg174, whole genome shotgun sequence.